GAUGAACGCUAGCGGCAGGCUUAACACAUGCAAGUCGAGGGGGUAUGCUUCUUCGGAAGCAGAGACCGGCGCACGGGUGCGUAACGCGUAUGCAAUCUACCUUUUACAGAGGGAUAGCCCAGAGAAAUUUGGAUUAAUACCUCAUAGUAUUAUAGAAUGGCAUCAUUUUAUUAAUUAAAGUACACAACGGUAAAAGAAUGAGCAUGCGUCCCAUUAGCUAGUGGUAAGGUAACGGACUUACCAAGGCUACGAUGGGUAGGGGUCCUGAGAGGGAGAUCCCCCACACUGGUACUGAGACACGGACCAGACUCCUACGGGGAGGCAGCAGUGAGGAAUAUUGGACAAU
rnacentral:rRNA from 1 species